rnacentral:rRNA from 1 species
UUUUCAUCAGACAAUCUGUGUGAGCACUGCAAAGAACAGUUCUUUAAGGUAAGGAGGUGAUCCAACCGCAGGUUCCCCUACGGUUACCUUGUUACGACUUCACCCCAGUCAUGAAUCACAAAGUGGUAAGCGCCCUCCCGAAGGUUAAGCUACCUACUUCUUUUGCAACCCACUCCCAUGGUGUGACGGGCGGUGUGUACAAGGCCCGGGAACGUAUUCACCGUGGCAUUCUGAUCCACGAUUACUAGCGAUUCCGACUUCAUGGAGUCGAGUUGCAGACUCCAAUCCGGACUACGACGCACUUUAUGAGGUCCGCUUGCUCUCGCGAGGUCGCUUCUCUUUGUAUGCGCCAUUGUAGCACGUGUGUAGCCCUGGUCGUAAGGGCCAUGAUGACUUGACGUCAUCCCCACCUUCCUCCAGUUUAUCACUGGCAGUCUCCUUUGAGUUCCCGGCCGGACCGCUGGCAACAAAGGAUAAGGGUUGCGCUCGUUGCGGGACUUAACCCAACAUUUCACAACACGAGCUGACGACAGCCAUGCAGCACCUGUCUCACGGUUCCCGAAGGCACAUUCUCAUCUCUGAAAACUUCCGUGGAUGUCAAGACCAGGUAAGGUUCUUCGCGUUGCAUCGAAUUAAACCACAUGCUCCACCGCUUGUGCGGGCCCCCGUCAAUUCAUUUGAGUUUUAACCUUGCGGCCGUACUCCCCAGGCGGUCUACUUAACGCGUUAGCUCCGGAAGCCACGCCUCAAGGGCACAACCUCCAAGUAGACAUCGUUUACGGCGUGGACUACCAGGGUAUCUAAUCCUGUUUGCUCCCCACGCUUUCGCACCUGAGCGUCAGUCUUUGUCCAGGGGGCCGCCUUCGCCACCGGUAUUCCUCCAGAUCUCUACGCAUUUCACCGCUACNNNNNNNNNNNNNNNNNNNNAAGCCUGCCAGUUUCGAAUGCAGUUCCCAGGUUGAGCCCGGGGAUUUCACAUCCGACUUGACAGACCGCCUGCGUGCGCUUUACGCCCAGUAAUUCCGAUUAACGCUUGCACCCUCCGUAUUACCGCGGCUGCUGGCACGGAGUUAGCCGGUGCUUCUUCUGCGGGUAACGUCAAUUGCUGCGGUUAUUAACCACAACACCUUCCUCCCCGCUGAAAGUACUUUACAACCCGAAGGCCUUCUUCAUACACGCGGCAUGGCUGCAUCAGGCUUGCGCCCAUUGUGCAAUAUUCCCCACUGCUGCCUCCCGUAGGAGUCUGGACCGUGUCUCAGUUCCAGUGUGGCUGGUCAUCCUCUCAGACCAGCUAGGGAUCGUCGCCUUGGUGAGCCGUUACCUCACCAACAAGCUAAUCCCAUCUGGGCACAUCUGAUGGCAAGAGGCCCGAAGGUCCCCCUCUUUGGUCUUGCGACGUUAUGCGGUAUUAGCCACCGUUUCCAGUAGUUAUCCCCCUCCAUCAGGCAGUUUCCCAGACAUUACUCACCCGUCCGCCACUCGUCAGCAAAGCAGCAAGCUGCUUCCUGUUACCGUUCGACUUGCAUGUGUUAGGCCUGCCGCCAGCGUUCAAUCUGAGCCAUGAUCAAACUCUUCAAUUUAAAAGUUUGAUGCUCAAAGAAUUAAACUUCGUAAUGAAUUACGUGUUCACUCUUGAGACUUGGUAUUCAUUUUUCGU